rnacentral:lncRNA from 1 species
CGGAAGUUAGCCUUAUAUAGCAGGUCAUGCGGAACUCAGCUUCGGAUUAUGCCUGGUACUUUUCCGCCUGACAUUUCCUGUUGAAACGAGAUAACGUUCGACGGACAGCCGAUGACACGAAAUAACUUUCCAUUUCGUCAUGGAUUCCAUUGGCCACAUCGCACUCCGACAGAGCAGCACGUCGACGCUAUCGUCUAUGUCAGCGUUGUGUUUGUGGUCUUUGCCACCAUAGUUCUGCUGCUCCUGGCGACCAAUUGCCGCAGUUUACCUCCGGCAGCUGCACCCCUGGCAGCCGAAGAGCCCCAGCCUCAGCCAACGAUUGUGCACCUCAAGAAUUCCGGUGUUUGUGUGCGCACUGAAACCUUUGCUGAGGACAACAUUGUGUGAACUGUGCCUGACACUGUCGAUUAGCUUCUCUUCACCAGCACAUUUGGAUAUGGCUAACAGUGUGGAGCCUAGAAAAGAAUACAAAUGGAGCUUGCAGUAACGUCUUCACUUCGAUAACGCAAAACUACCACCCUUGAACUUUUGCAAAA